UACGUAGGGGGCUAGCGUUGCUCGGAAUCACUGGGCGUAAAGCGCACGUAGGCGGAUUGUUAAGUCAGGGGUGAAAUCCUGGAGCUCAACUCCAGAACUGCCUUUGAUACUGAGAAGCUUGAGUCCGGGAGAGGUGAGUGGAACUGCGAGUGUAGAGGUGAAAUUCGUAGAUAUUCGCAAGAACACCGGUGGCGAAGGCGGCAUCCUGGACCGGUAUUGACACUGAGGCGCGAAAGCCAGGGGAGCAAACGGGG
rnacentral:rRNA from 1 species